UCUGUGUAAGCUUCGCUACCAAGUAUACUUAACUUGCCGAAUGCGUCGUGCGCUGCCCUUGACGGGUAGCACACAUAUGAAUGCGCUACUCACUCUUCCUUUUCAUUAGCGGUCGAAGAAGGAACCACGGUUCACUUGUUUUCAGUGAACAGCUACAACGAACUUGCGGAAGCUGCACAGGAACAGAUGACGCGUCUUUGAAUAUGAACGAAAACGCGAGGCAGACGAGGAGAAGGAGAAGACAAGAUGGCAUGAGUGAUGGAUACAAUAUAUUAGAGAGGUGCUCAAUGCAUGAUCUCCCAGCACUGCUAACAGCAAGCUGGAGAGAGUGACCACGCACGCUCAUGCGCUGGGAAGACUGGGCACCCCUGACGAGGUGGCCCGAUGCAUCGCUUUUCUGGCCUCGGACGACGCCUCGUUUGUGACGGGAGCCACUUUGCCCGUGGACGGGGGCGUCCACAUCACGUCGGCCCUUUCGCCGAGCGUUCCUUUGGAGCUGACCGCGCACAUGCAGAAACACGCCUGAGCACAAGUCGCCUGAGCACAAACGCGGGUCGUAUCUGACGGUAGGACGGCGAAAUAACCAGAGAUACAAUUAAAAGAAAAACGACACAAGAUUGAGCGGGUGCAGGUAUUUUUCAUGGUGAUGUAUAUUUUGGAGUAAAAAGCCGAGCGAAAGAGCUACUAGGCUUCCACGUGCA